rnacentral:piRNA from 1 species
GUGUGUUCCAUGGUGAAACAGAGGG